rnacentral:rRNA from 1 species
GAUUAAGUUAUUAAGGGCGCACGGUGGAUGCCUUGGCACUAGAAGCCGACGAAGGACGUUACUAACGACGAUAUGCUUUGGGUAGCUGUAAGUAAGCGUUGAUCCAGAGAUUUCCGAAUGGGGGAACCCAGCACGAGUUAUGUCGUGUUAUCGACAAGUGAAUUCAUAGCUUGUCAGAAGGCAGACCCGGAGAACUGAAACAUCUUAGUACCCGGAGGAAGAGAAAGAAAAAUCGAUUCCCUGAGUAGCGGCGAGCGAAACGGGAAGAGCCCAAACCAAUAAGCUUGCUUAUUGGGGUUGUAGGACACUCUAUACGGAGUUACAAAGGAAUAUAUUAGACGAAUCAUCUGGAAAGUUGAAUCAAAGAAGGUAAUAAUCCUGUAGUUGAAAAUAUAUUCUCUCUUGAGUGGAUCCUGAGUACGACGGAGCACGUGAAAUUCCGUCGGAAUCUGGGAGGACCAUCUCCUAAGGCUAAAUACUCUCUAGUGACCGAUAGUGAACCAGUACCGUGAGGGAAAGGUGAAAAGUACCCCGGAAGGGGAGUGAAAGAGAACUUGAAACCGUGUGCUUACAAGUAGUCAGAGCCCGUUAAUGGGUGAUGGCGUGCCUUUUGUAGAAUGAACCGGCGAGUUACGAUCUGAUGCAAGGUUAAGCAGGAGAUGUGGAGCCGUAGCGAAAGCGAGUCUGAAUAGGGCGUUGAGUAUUUGGUCGUAGACCCGAAACCAGGUGAUCUACCCAUGGUCAGGUUGAAGUUCAGGUAACACUGAAUGGAGGACCGAACCGACUUACGUUGAAAAGUGAGCGGAUGAACUGUGGGUAGCGGAGAAAUUCCAAUCGAACUUGGAGAUAGCUGGUUCUCUCCGAAAUAGCUUUAGGGCUAGCCUCAAGUGAUGAUUAUUGGAGGUAGAGCACUGUUUGGACGAGGGGCCCCUCUCGGGUUACCGAAUUCAGACAAACUCCGAAUGCCAAUUAAUUUAACUUGGGAGUCAGAACAUGGGUGAUAAGGUCCGUGUUCGAAAGGGAAACAGCCCAGACCACCAGCUAAGGUCCCAAAAUAUAUGUUAAGUGGAAAAGGAUGUGGCGUUGCCCAGACAACUAGGAUGUUGGCUUAGAAGCAGCCAUCAUUUAAAGAGUGCGUAAUAGCUCACUAGUCGAGUGACACUGCGCCGAAAAUGUACCGGGGCUAAACAUAUUACCGAAGCUGUGGAUUGUCCGUAGGACAAUGGUAGGAGAGCGUUCUAAGGGCGUUGAAGCAUGAUCGCAAGGACAUGUGGAGCGCUUAGAAGUGAGAAUGCCGGUGUGAGUAGCGAAAGACGGGUGAGAAUCCCGUCCACCGAUUGACUAAGGUUUCCAGAGGAAGGCUCGUCCGCUCUGGGUUAGUCGGGUCCUAAGCUGAGGCCGACAGGCGUAGGCGAUGGAUAACAGGUUGAUAUUCCUGUACCACCUAGCAUCGUUUUAAUCGAUGGGGGGACGCAGUAGGAUAGGCGAAGCGUACGAUUGG